AUUUUUUUAGUAUAAACAAGUAUAUCUGGCUUCCAAUCAGAAGGUCUAAUUUUUAGAAAAAAUA
rnacentral:tRNA from 1 species